AUGGCGGUGGCACAUCAGAUUGGAGAGAUGGCGGUGGUGGUGGUGCUGAUGGCAGUGAGACGUCUGACUGUGGAGGUGCGUCCAUGUCUAGUUGUAUGAAGUCAAGGGGACCUGGAAAAUUCUGCUGCAGACAAUUCCAGGGAAAUGAGGUUUAUAAUGGUAAGGAAACCAAAUAUUUUCUUGAAACUUAAAACUUCAUCUCCAUGAUUUGCUGCACCUAAUGUUCUUUUGUUAACACUUUUAUCUACACUCCACGCGGUAAUAUCACAUCAAAUUCUCUUUGGAUUCCCUUUUUUCUCCUGUGCUCGUCUUCUCUGAUGUGAAGCUUAAUAUGAUUAUUUUAGUGUUAAAGGUUUAUUGAAACUAUUCAAUACACACCAUGCAGAGAUAUUCUCUUACAUUCAUGAGAAUUAUGUUUACAUUUUGCCCAUUGUUUAUCAAAAAGUCACUUCAUUAUCCACAAUUAUUAGCAAUCUUUUGUUAACCUUUUACUGUUAAAUUAAUGUGAUGGGAUAAGAAUCACUGAGCUGGGGAAAUUUCUAAAGCAUAAUUAAGGGGCAUUUUGGUUUGGCCUCUUUCUUUCAACGCUUGAAGUUUAUAAAAUUUUUGAGUUUUUUUUUUUUUUCUAAAAAAAAGUGAAUAGUUGUUUGGUUUAUUUCUUGUUGUUUAACAUAAAUUGUCCAUAAAUAAUUAAAAAUUGUUAAAAUAUUUUUAAAAAAACUUUAUAGCUAUUGUUUUUCUUUUUUCAAAAACCCGAACACCAUAAUUUAAAUACCAAUAUGCAACAUGAUGUAUUUGUUAGAAAGUUGUGAUCUUUGUAAACUUAUUUUUGAAGAAAUUGUGAAUGCCAUGAACAGCUUUGAUCAUGCUGGGGAGCACAAGUUUCAGAAUUGCGAUUGCCGAUCCAUUUUCAAUUUGCAACAGAACAGAGCCCCAGGAAGAACCUUUAGUAAGAUCAUGGCAAUGUUGUUAAGACUCCCACGAAGAAACACACUGACUGAACUCACAAAUCCUCUGUUUCUUUAAUGAUAGAGGAUGAGACUGCAACA
rnacentral:lncRNA from 1 species